GGUAUAGGGUAGGUCAGUCGGUGUAGGGUAGGCUUGGGUUGGCUGCGGCGUUAUCCCUCUCCUCGCUGCGCUGGUGGUGCCUGGUGCAUCAGUGCAUUAGUGCAUGCUAACGGAGGGUUAGGGCUCGACCCCGGAGAAGGAGCCUGAGAAACGGCUACUACAUCCAAGGAAGGCAGCAGGCGCGCAAAUUACCCAAUCGGUGGCCAUGGAAGUCGGAAUCCGCUAAGGACUGUGUAACAACUCACCUGCCGAAUGUA
rnacentral:ncRNA from 1 species